rnacentral:lncRNA from 14 species
CUGCUCUUAUGCUUGGUGGAAUCCAGUUAAGUACUGCAUCUGAAGUGCUCUUGACAUAAAUACAAGUGGUUACAGAACAGAAGCUAAACAGAACAGAACACCUACCCUUCAGUCUCCUGAUUUGUUGGACCACAGAUGGCUUGUGGCAAUGGUAUAUCAACUCAAGCAAGUGGUGAUGGACAUGGAGCCCUCUCAUCUGGAGCACAGAAU